GAGUUUGAUCCUGGCUCAGAUUGAACGCUGGCGGUAUGCUUAACACAUGCAAGUCGAACGGAAACGAUACUAGCUUGCUAGUAGGCGUCGAGUGGCGGACGGGUGAGUAACGCGUAGGAAUCUGCCUGAUAGUGGGGGAUAGCCCGAAGAAAUUCGGAUUAAUACCGCAUAAUCUAUUCGUAGUAAAGUGGGGGACUUUCGAGCCUCACGCUAUCAGAUGAGCCUGCGUAAGAUUAGCUUGUUGGUAGGGUAAAAGCCUACCAAGGCGCCGAUCUUUAGCUGGUCUGAGAGGAUGAUCAGCCACAUCGGGACUGAGACACGGCCCGAACUCCUACGGGAGGCAGCAGUGGGGAAUAUUGGACAAUGGGGGCAACCCUGAUCCAGCAAUACCGCGUGUGUGAAGAAGGCCUGAGGGUUGUAAAGCACUUUCAAUUGUGAAGAAAAGUUAGCGGUUAAUAACCGUUAGCCUUGACGUUAACUUUAGAAGAAGCACCGGCUAACUCCGUGCCAGCAGCCGCGGUAAUACGGAGGGUGCAAGCGUUAAUCGGAAUUACUGGGCGUAAAGCGUGCGUAGGCGGUUUAUUAAGUCAGAUGUGAAAGCCCCGGGCUUAACCUGGGAACUGCAUUUGAAACUGGUCAACUAGAGUAUGGUAGAGGAAAGUGGAAUUUCUGGUGUAGCGGUGAAAUGCGUAGAUAUCAGAAGGAACAUCAAUGGCGAAGGCGGCUUUCUGGACCAAUACUGACGCUGAGGUACGAAAGCGUGGGUAGCAAACAGGAUUAGAUACCCUGGUAGUCCACGCCGUAAACGAUGAUAACUAGCCGUUGGGGGGAUUUACCCUUUAGUGGCGAAGCUAACGCGUUAAGUUAUCCGCCUGGGGAGUACGGCCGCAAGGUUAAAACUCAAAGGAAUUGACGGGGACCCGCACAAGCGGUGGAGCAUGUGGUUUAAUUCGAUGCAACGCGAAGAACCUUACCUGGUCUUGACAUCCUGCGAACUUUCUAGAAAUAGAUUGGUGCCUUCGGGAACGCAGUGACAGGUGCUGCAUGGCUGUCGUCAGCUCGUGUCGUGAGAUGUUGGGUUAAGUCCCGUAACGAGCGCAACCCCUAUCCUUAUUUGCCAGCACAUCAUGGUGGGAACUAUAAGGAGACUGCCGGUGAUAAACCGGAGGAAGGCGGGGACGACGUCAAGUCAUCAUGGCCCUUACGACCAGGGCUACACACGUGCUACAAUGGGAAGGACAAAGAGCCGCGAAGCCGCGAGGUGUAGCUAAUCUCAUAAACCUUUUCGUAGUCCGGAUUGGAGUCUGCAACUCGACUCCAUGAAGUCGGAAUCGCUAGUAAUCGUAGAUCAGAAUGCUACGGUGAAUACGUUCCCGGGUCUUGUACUCACCGCCCGUC
rnacentral:rRNA from 1 species